rnacentral:tRNA from 11 species
GCUGAUAUGGCUCAGUUGGUAGAGCAGCUCAUUCGUAAUGAGCAGGUCGUCGGUUCGAGUCCGACUAUCAGCUCCA